CCCAUAGCGUAUAUUAAAGUUGUUGCAGUUAAAAAGCUCGUAGUUGAAUUUCGGGAUCAAUGUUUCGGUCAUGCCGUUGGUAUGUACUGAUAUUAUUGAUUUCUCACCUUCUAAAGAACCGUAAUGCCAUUAAUUUGGUGUCACGGGGAAUUAGGACUGUUACCUUGAAAAAAUUAGAGUGUUUAAAGCAGGCUUACGCUUGAAUACAUUAGCAUGGAAUAAUGAAAUAGGACAUCCGAUUCUAUUUUGUUGGUUUCUAGGAUCGAUGUAAUGAUUAAUAGGGAUAGUUGGGGGCAUUAGUAUUCAAUUGUCAGAGGUGAAAUUCUUGGAUUUAUUGAAGACUAACUACUGCGAAAGCAUUUGCCAAGGAUGUUUUCAUUAAUCAAGAACGAAAGUUAGGGGAUCGAAGACGAUCAGAUACCGUCGUAGUCUUAACCAUAAACUAUGCCGACUAGGGAUCGGAUGAUGUUAAUUUUUUAAUGACUCAUUCGGCGCCUUACG
rnacentral:rRNA from 1 species